CGUUUAUCUGACUGUUGGAGACUGAGCAAUGGGUGCAGGCAGAGAGAGAGACACUAUUUUCGCCUCUUCGCAUAUUUUGGAGCUUUUUUGUCGUCAUUUGCUAUUAAGCUUCUUGUGACAGGUCUUUCUGGAACAGUGAAGCUGGACAGUUACAGCUGCCAUUAUGCAAUGAAUAACAGUGAAAUGAAGAAAAGAAAAAUUGACUGGAAGCUAGUUGACAAAAUGACGGACAAUACUUACUCUUUGCGGAGGAAGGAGAUCGUAAAAGAUGAGCCACUGGUCGCACAAGUUCAAGAAAGGUGGCCUGCCUUGUUCUUCGUACCUCAGAUUGAAUCAGAAUUUGCUCGCCUCACAUCGGUAAACCUGAAAGAAGUCUUCUUCUCUGGGCUUGACCAGUACCUGGACAGGUUCCUUGAGCUUUUCAAAGCCAAGAGUGGAUUGCCAGAACUAACCAAGCUUACAAGA